rnacentral:tRNA from 1 species
CGAAAUAUAGCUUAACUAAAGCCCCUUGCUUACACCAAGGAAACAUUUGUGAGACUCAAAUUACUUCGA